rnacentral:rRNA from 1 species
AUUGAACGCUGGCGGCAGGCCUAACACAUGCAAGUCGAACGGUAACAGAAAGCAGCUUGCUGCUUUGCUGACGAGUGGCGGACGGGUGAGUAAUGUCUGGGAAACUGCCUGAUGGAGGGGGAUAACUACUGGAAACGGUAGCUAAUACCGCAUAACGUCGCAAGACCAAAGAGGGGGACCUUCGGGCCUCUUGCCAUCGGAUGUGCCCAGAUGGGAUUAGCUAGUAGGUGGGGUAAAGGCUCACCUAGGCGACGAUCCCUAGCUGGUCUGAGAGGAUGACCAGCCACACUGGAACUGAGACACGGUCCAGACUCCUACGGGAGGCAGCAGUGGGGAAUAUUGCACAAUGGGCGCAAGCCGGAUGCAGCCAUGCCGCGUGUAUGAAGAAGGCCUUCGGGUUGUAAAGUACUUUCAGCGGGGAGGAAGGGAGUAAAGUUAAUACCUUUGCUCAUUGACGUUACCCGCAGAAGAAGCACCGGCUAACUCCG